rnacentral:tRNA from 1 species
UUAGCUCAGCGGGAGAGCACUUGCCUGGCAGCCAAGUGGUACGGCUUACGCCGGCUGCGCCAGGGACCUCCA